GAAUGCUGACAUAAGUAACGAUAAAGCGGGUGAAAAGCCCGCUCGCCGGAAGACCAAGGGUUCCUGUCCAACGUUAAUCGGGGCAGGGUGAGUCGACCCCUAAGGCGAGGCCGAAAGGCGUAGUCGAUGGGAAACGGGUUAAUAUUCCCGUACUUGGUGUUACUGCGAAGGGGGGACGGAGAAGGCUAUGUUGGCCGGGCGACGGUUGUCCCGGUUUAAGCGUGUAGGUGUGUGUUCCAGGUAAAUCCGGUUCACUUUAACACUGAGGCGUGACGACGAGGCACUACGGUGCUGAAGCAACAAAUGCCCUGCUUCCAGGAAAAGCCUCUAAGCAUCAGGUAACAUCAAAUCGUACCCCAAACCGACACAGGUGGUCAGGUAGAGAAUACCAAGGCGCUUGAGAGAACUCGGGUGAAGGAACUAGGCAAAAUGGUGCCGUAACUUCGGGAGAAGGCACGCUGACACGUAGGUGAAGUGAUUUACUCAUGGAGCUGAAGUCAGUCGAAGAUACCAGCUGGCUGCAACUGUUUAUUAAAAACACAGCACUGUGCAAACACGAAAGUGGACGUAUACGGUGUGACGCCUGCCCGGUGCCGGAAGGUUAAUUGAUGGGGUCAGCGCAAGCGAAGCUCCUGAUCGAAGCCCCGGUAAACGGCGGCCGUAACUAUAACGGUCCUAAGGUAGCGAAAUUCCUUGUCGGGUAAGUUCCGACCUGCACGAAUGGCGUAAUGAUGGCCAGGCUGUCUCCACCCGAGACUCAGUGAAAUUGAACUCGCUGUGAAGAUGCAGUGUACCCGCGGCAAGACGGAAAGACCCCGUGAACCUUUACUAUAGCUUGACACUGAACAUUGAGCCUUGAUGUGUAGGAUAGGUGGGAGGCUUUGAAGUGUGGACGCCAGUCUGCAUGGAGCCGACCUUGAAAUACCACCCUUUAAUGUUUGAUGUUCUAACGUGGACCCGUUACCCGGGUUGCGGACAGUGUCUGGUGGGUAGUUUGACUGGGGCGGUCUCCUCCUAAAGAGUAACGGAGGAGCACGAAGGUUGGCUAAUCCUGGUCGGACAU
rnacentral:rRNA from 2 species